UACGGGGGGGGCAAGCGUUGUUCGGAAUUACUGGGCGUAAAGGGCUCGUAGGCGGCCAACUAAGUCAGACGUGAAAUCCCUCGGCUUAACCGGGGAACUGCGUCUGAUACUGGAUGGCUUGAGGUUGGGAGAGGGAUGCGGAAUUCCAGGUGUAGCGGUGAAAUGCGUAGAUAUCUGGAGGAACACCGGUGGCGAAGGCGGCAUCCUGGACCAAUUCCGACGCUGAGGAGCGAAAGCCAGGGGAGCAAACGGG
rnacentral:rRNA from 1 species